ACUAUUACAGCUUAGUGGGUAUACAGUGUGCUCGUAAGGUUACUAUUACAGCUUAGUGGGUAUACAGUGUGCUCGUAAGGUUACUAUUACAGCUUAGUGGGUAUACAGUGUGCUCUUAGGUAAGGUUACUAUUACAGCUUAGUGGGUAUACAGUGUGCUCGUAAGGUUACUAUUACAGCUUAGUGGGUAUACAGUGUGCUCGUAAGGUUACUAUUACAGCUUAGUGGGUAUACAGUGUGCUCGUAAGGUUACUAUUACAAGAAGAGCAACUACUAUUACAUUUUGCAAGUAGAUCAGGUGGAGAGAAUACAGCAGCAUCCCACAGCAGAGACUAGGAGGGUUAGAAAAGAAACAAAGUGAGUAGGCC
ensembl:lncRNA